rnacentral:tRNA from 13 species
UGUUAGAAGAGGGAUUCGAACCCUCGCCCACAAGAGUUUACUGCGACCUGAACGCAGCGCCUUAGUCCGCUCGGCCAUCCUGAC